rnacentral:rRNA from 1 species
AUUGAACGCUGGCGGCAUGCCUUACACAUGCAAGUCGAACGGCAGCGCGGACUUCGGUCUGGCGGCGAGUGGCGAACGGGUGAGUAAUACAUCGGAACGUGCCCUGUUGUGGGGGAUAACUAGUCGAAAGAUUAGCUAAUACCGCAUACGACCUGAGGGUGAAAGCGGGGGACCGUAAGGCCUCGCGCAAUAGGAGCGGCCGAUGUCUGAUUAGCUAGUUGGUGGGGUAAAGGCCCACCAAGGCGACGAUCAGUAGCUGGUCUGAGAGGACGAUCAGCCACACUGGGACUGAGACACGGCCCAGACUCCUACGGGAGGCAGCAGUGGGGAAUUUUGGACAAUGGGGGCAACCCUGAUCCAGCAAUGCCGCGUGUGUGAAGAAGGCCUUCGGGUUGUAAAGCACUUUUGUCCGGAAAGAAAUCGCGUUGGAUAAUACCUGACGUGGAUGACGGUACCGGAAGAAUAAGCACCGGCUAACUACGUGCCAGCAGCCGCCGCAG